ACCAGGAUGGCCGUGUGGUUAAGGUGUUGGACUUAAUUUCAAAUGUACGGAUGUACGCGUGGGUUCGAACCCCACUCCUGGUA
rnacentral:tRNA from 1 species